GGGUUACAAGGGCCUUGAGCUAACCCAGUGGUGUUAUGUGUGAGGCACGACAAGGCAUCAGAGAGGCUUGUUGCAUUUGAAGGAACAUACACAUGAAGAAGGUUCUUAGCAUGUGCACAACCAAUAUGUUUCAAGCAUAGUUGAUUACUAGUAAUGACGUAGAGGAUUGUGUCCUUGACCGUGGCAUAGGCUUGUUUGCUUAGUGUGAAUGAUUGAUGCUUAACAAUUGCUAAUCUUGGAUGUAUCCAUGAAGCUAAAUGUGAUCUAGUGAUGUUUAUGGUUAAAUUGUUAGGGCAAAUGCACAUUAGCUCAAUGUUACAGUAGCCCUAGUAGUUCAUUGUGAGUUAAGUAUAGUGAUGCUAAAUGUUUAGUUGAAUGGAGUGUUAUUUUGCUAAAUAUAUGCCCUUGUACUGUGCACAUUCUCUUGUACUGAUGUUAACUUUCAUUAUAUUGGCGAGCAAGUGCAUUAGGUACUUAUUUUGUCAACUAUUGUGUAUUAUGUUAGUGAUAUAUCAAUGAAACCUAAGUUUGAAUGAGUGAGCUUUAUAGUC
rnacentral:lncRNA from 1 species